GUAAAAUGGCUGAGCAAAGCAUUAGACUGUAAAUCUAAGCACAGAGGAUGGGCCUCUUUUUACCA
rnacentral:tRNA from 1 species